rfam:Homo sapiens chromosome 6 genomic contig, GRCh38 reference assembly alternate locus group ALT_REF_LOCI_7.
GGGGGUGUAGCUCAGUGGUAGAGCGUAUGCUUAGCAUUCAUGAGGCUCUGGGUUCGAUCCCCAGCACUUCCA